rnacentral:tRNA from 1 species
CGGGGUGUGGCUCAGCUUGGUAGAGCGCUUGGUUCGGGACUAAGAGGCCGCAGGUUCGAAUCCUGUCACUCCGA